ACUCCUACGGGAGGCAGCAGUGGGGAAUAUUGCACAAUGGGGGAAACCCUGAUGCAGCCAUGCCGCGUGUGUGAAGAAGGCCUUCGGGUUGUAAAGCACUUUCAGUAGGGAGGAAGGUAGUGUAGUUAACACCUGCACUAUUUGACGUUACCUACAGAAGAAGCACCGGCUAACUCCGUGCCAGCAGCCGCGGUAAUACGGAGGGUGCGAGCGUUAAUCGGAAUUACUGGGCGUAAAGCGCAUGCAGGUGGUUUGUUAAGUCAGAUGUGAAAGCCCGGGGCUCAACCUCGGAAUUGCAUUUGAAACUGGCAGACUAGAGUACUGUAGAGGGGGGUAGAAUUUCAGGUGUAGCGGUGAAAUGCGUAGAGAUCUGAAGGAAUACCGGUGGCGAAGGCGGCCCCCUGGAACAGAUACUGACACUCAGAUGCGAAAGCGUGGGG
rnacentral:rRNA from 1 species